GAUUUGGAUCGGUAUGCUUUGUGGGACUUUAGCACAAACGUUGAUUCUAGUGUUUAUCCUUUUGAAAACUAACUGGAAGGAUGAGGCUUCACAAGCCUCGGAACGCGUGCGCUUGUGGGGUGGACAGAAUGAACCAACAAAGUCAAGUUAGUGUAGGUUGUUUUGUGACACAUUUGCCCUGCAUAGACUGUGAGGGGAAGAAGGAAGUAUUGUGAACAUCUUUUAUUAUCACGAGGUUGGAAUAAUUUAAAGAUUGUAAUUAGUAUCUGCAUUAGUUAUGUUUGGAUCAGAAAGGUAGAAUUACUGUAAAGUUAGCUGCACGAGCUCUGGUUGGAUGAGGGCAUGAACAGUCGGUAUUACAAUUUUGUAAUCCAACAGGGU
rnacentral:misc_RNA from 1 species